CUGGCGGCUGCCUACACAUGCAAGUCGUACGGAGAGUGGGGCAACUCACUCUCAGUGGCAAACGGGUGAGUAACGCGUGAAUAACCUGCCUUUGAGAAGGGGAUAACUGUCCGAAAGGAUAGCUAAUACCCUAUAUUGCCUUUUGUCACUAAGGCAAAAGGUGAAAGCGAGGCUGUCAAAGGCUUCGGCUCAAAGAGGGGUUCGCGUCCUAUCAGGUAGUUGGUGGGGUAAUGGCCUACCAAGCCAAUGACGGGUAGCUGGUCUUAGAGGAUGAUCAGCCACAGUGGGACUGAGACACGGCCCGCACCCCUACGGGGGGCAGCAGUGGGGAAUCGUGGGCAAUAGGCGCAAGCCUGACCCCGCAAUGCCGCGUGAGGGAAGAAGCCCUUCGGGGUGUAAACCUCUGUCAGAUGAGAAGAUGGGACUAGGGGCUAAUACCUCCUGGUCUUGACGGUACCAUCAGAGGAAGGGACGGCUAACUACGUGCCAGCAGCCGCGGUAAU
rnacentral:rRNA from 1 species